rnacentral:rRNA from 1 species
GACGUAGGGCGCGAGCGUUGUCCGGAUUUAUUGGGCGUAAAGAGCUCGUAGGCGGUUUGUUGCGUCGGCUGUGAAAUCCCGAGGCUCAACCUCGGGUCUGCAGUCGAUACGAGCAAACUAGAGUGUUGCAGGGGAGACUGGAGUUCCUGGUGUAGCGGUGAAAUGCGCAGAUAUCAGGAGGAACACCGGUGGCGAAGGCGGGUCUCUGGGCAACAACUGACGCUGAGGAGCGAAAGCGUGGGGAGCGAACAGG